rnacentral:tRNA from 1 species
CUAAGGAUGGUUCUUCAGAAGCUUGCUUCUAUCGAACCGUUUUAGAAACAUCAGUGGCCAACGGUCGUCAGGAUCGUUGAGCUGCAUUGGCGGGAUUUCGCCGUCUUCGUUUCUCUUUCUUCGCGGACGAACACGCGCUGGGGCUGCAACCUUGCAGAAUCCCUGGUCCUUGACUGGAUAUGCGUUAGGGGCUUGUAGCUCAGUUGGUUAGAGCGCGCGCUUGAUAAGCGUGAGGUCGGAAGUUCAAGUCUUCCCAGGCCCACCACACUCAUCGAGUGAGCAUUCGUCUUCUGGUUACGGGGCCAUAGCUCAGCUGGGAGAGCGCGUGCUUUGCAAGCAUGAGGUCGUCGGUUCGAUCCCGUCUGGCUCCACCAGAUGGUUUGAUCACCGACUACUCAUACCGUCGUCCGCGAAACAUCACUUCGCACUUACUAGUCCGGAUGGACAGUAAGCUGCGUGAUUUCUGACAUCGUAAAGAGGAGAUCGAUCCGAGUUGGAUCGGGCAACAAGUAAUUGUUGCGCGAUACUCCAUUAUCUCCGGAUCAUUUCGGCGCUCGUGGCGUCUUUUAGCGUAGCUCACAAGGCUGCAUUGAAAGACAAGCGAGUUGUAAAUGAUCCUUUUAGCGAAGCUUGACCGCCUCGCUAUCGGAACGAUCUUACGAAGCAAGCUGGUCUUUCUAAUCAUUGUCCGGCUGCAGAUAGCGUUCAUCGAGGGCGCGUGCCGCAAGGCAGUUCUGCAGACAACAUUCUGCCGAGUGUGUGGACAUUGAUAAUGAGAGC